CCGUGGCAGAGUGACCUCUAGAAUUUAUACAAGUUGUAACCUCCUUCUCUUUGCCCCCUUGACUCUCUGAGGGGCAGGGAAACUGAGUCCUGGCAAGGUGGAGGGCAGCUGAAGAAAAGGGCCAGAUAUCUAGCAUCCCAGCUGUUAGGCAGCCUCAGAUGUCCUAGGACAAAGGCCUCUUUCUUGGACAGGCAAGGCACCCCAGCCACAUGGCAGCCACAUACACUGGACAGACCAGGACACGUGUGUAGGAUAUCAGGUCCAUCCCCCAGCACCCACGGCAGCUCUGGGGCAGGCCAUGGUUAAGAAUCCGCCUGCCAACGCAGGGGACAUGGGUUUGAGCCCUG